UACAGAGGGGGCAAGCGUUGUUCGGAAUUAUUGGGCGUAAAGGGCGCGUAGGCGGCCUUCUAAGUCGAACGUGAAAUCCCCGGGCUCAACCCGGGAACUGCGUCCGAUACUGGAAGGCUUGAAUCCGGGAGAGGGAUGCGGAAUUCCAGGUGUAGCGGUGAAAUGCGUAGAUAUCUGGAGGAACACCGGUGGCGAAGGCGGCAUCCUGGACCGGCAUUGACGCUGAGGCGCGAAAGCCAGGGGAGCAAACGGG
rnacentral:rRNA from 1 species